UAGGGAAUCUUCCGCAAUGGACGCAANUUUGACGGAGCAACGCCGCGUGAGUGAAGAAGGUUUUCGGAUCGUAAAACUCUGUUGUUAGAGAAGAACAAGUGCUAGAGUAACUGUUAGCGCCUUGACGGUAUCUAACCAGAAAGCCACGGCUAACUACGUGCCAGCAGCCGCGGUAAUACGUAGGUGGCAAGCGUUGUCCGGAUUUAUUGGGCGUAAAGCGAGCGCAGGCGGUUCCUUAAGUCUGAUGUGAAAGUCCCCGGCUCAACCGGGGAGGGUCAUUGGAAACUGGGGAACUUGAGUGCAGAAGAGGAGAGUGGAAUUCCAUGUGUAGCGGUGAAAUGCGUAGAUAUAUGGAGGAACACCAGUGGCGAAGGCGACUCUCUGGUCUGUAACUGACGCUGAGGCUCGAAAGCGUGGGUAGCAAACAGGAUUAGAUACCCUGGUAGUCCACGCCGUAAACGAUGAGUGCUAAGUGUUGGAGGGUUUCCGCCCUUCAGUGCUGCAGUUAACGCAUUAAGCACUCCGCCUGGGGAGUACGACCGCAAGNUG
rnacentral:rRNA from 1 species